GACGAACGCUGGCGGCGUGCUUAACACAUGCAAGUCGAACGGUGAAGCGCCUUCUUUUUUGGUGGGUGUGGAUGAGUGGCGAACGGGUGAGUAACACGUGAGUAACCUGCCCCCUUCUUCUGGAUAACCGCAUGAAAGUGUGGCUAAUACGGGAUAUUCUGGGUCUGUCGCAUGAUGGGUCUGGGAAAGAUAUUGUUUCGGUGGGGGAUGGGCUCGCGGCCUAUCAGCUUGUUGGUGGGGUGAUGGCCUACCAAGGCGGUGACGGGUAGCCGGCCUGAGAGGGUGGACGGUCACACUGGGACUGAGACACGGCCCAGACUCCUACGGGAGGCAGCAGUGGGGAAUAUUGCACAAUGGGCGCAAGCCUGAUGCAGCGACGCCGCGUGAGGGAUGGAGGCCUUCGGGUUGUGAACCUCUUUCGCCAGUGAAGCAGGCCUGCCUCGUUUGUGGGUGGGUUGACGGUAGCUGGAUAAGAAGCGCCGGCUAACUACGUG
rnacentral:rRNA from 1 species